GAUGAACGCUGGCGGCGUGCCUAAUACAUGCAAGUCGAGCGAACGGACGAGAAGCUUGCUUCUCUGAUGUUAGCGGCGGACGGGUGAGUAACACGUGGAUAACCUACCUAUAAGACUGGGAUAACUUCGGGAAACCGGAGCUAAUACCGGAUGAUAUUUUGAACCGCAUGGUUCAAAAGUGAAAGACGGUCUUGCUGUCACUUAUAGAUGGAUCCGCGCUGCAUUAGCUAGUUGGUAAGGUAACGGCUUACCAAGGCAACGAUGCAUAGCCGACCUGAGAGGGGGGUCCGCCACACCUGAACUGGAACCCGGUCCCGACCCCUACCGGAGGGAACCGUUAGGAAUUCUCCGCCAUUGGCCAAAGCCCGACGGAGGCACGCCCCGGUGAGUGAUAAAGGUCUUCGGUCCGUAAACCCUUGUAUUAGGGAAGAACAUAUGUGUAAGUAACUGUGCACAUCUUGACGGUACCUAAUCAGAAAGCCACGGCUAACUACGUG
rnacentral:rRNA from 1 species